GUCUUGUGCGAGGAAAGUCAUCUUUGUCAUUAAUCACGAGGCUGUGGGUGAGGCUGCAGCCUGUCUUGGAGCCCUGGAGCAGGCUCUCCUUCCUGUUGGUGUAGCCAGGAGCUGGUGCUGAGCUUGACUUUGGUGCUUGUGCUUUCUCCUGCUGUCGCGCUGACCCUGAGAUCUCCGUCCUUCAAGGCCCUGAGCCGCUCCUGCAAGUACCCAG
rnacentral:lncRNA from 1 species